CCUACGGGAGGCAGCAGUAGGGAAUUUUCGGCAAUGGGGGGAACCCUGACCGAGCAACGCCGCGUGAACGAAGAAGUUAUUCGUAAUGUAAAGUUCUUUUAACAGGGAAGAACGAGAAAUUUGACGGUACCUGAUGAAUAAGCUCCGGCUAACUACGUGCCAGCGGCUGCGGUAAUACGUAGGGAGCGAGCGUUAUCCGGAAUUAUUGGGCGUAAAGGAUUCGUAGAUGGCAUAGUAAGUCUUUUGUAAAAAUGCUGGGCUCAACCCAGUAGGGCAAAAGAUACUGCAAAGCUAGAGUAUGAGAGAGGAAAGUGGAACUACAGGUGUAGCGGUAAAAUGCGUAAAUAUAUGGAGGAACACCAGUGGCGAAGGCGGCUUGCUGGGUCGAUACUGACAGUGAGGCACGAAAGCGUGGGGAGCAAACAGGAUUAGAUACCCGUGUAGUC
rnacentral:rRNA from 1 species